rnacentral:pre_miRNA from 14 species
UGCUGUGAACCCCGCCAGGUGAAAGAUCCCACACAGAGAGACCCUUACUCAAGUCUUGGGAAAUUGCGGACCCCAGAUACAGAGAGACCA